rnacentral:rRNA from 1 species
GAUGAACGCUGGCGGCGUGCCUAAUACAUGCAAGUCGAGCGAACAGACGAGGAGCUUGCUCCUCUGACGUUAGCGGCGGACGGGUGAGUAACACGUGGAUAACCUACCUAUAAGACUGGGAUAACUUCGGGAAACCGGAGCUAAUACCGGAUAAUAUAUUGAACCGCAUGGUUCAAUAGUGAAAGACGGUUUUGCUGUCACUUAUAGAUGGAUCCGCGCCGCAUUAGCUAGUUGGUAAGGUAACGGCUUACCAAGGCAACGAUGCGUAGCCGACCCGAGAGGGUGAUCGGCCACACUGGAACUGAGACACGGUCCAGACUCCUACGGGAGGCAGCAGUAGGGAAUCUUCCGCAAUGGGCGAAAACCUGACGGAGCAACGCCGCGUGAGUGAUGAAGGUCUUCGGAUCGUAAAACUCUGUUAUUAGGGAAGAACAAAUGUGUAAGUAACUAUGCACGUCUUGACGGUACCUAAUCAGAAAGCCACGGCUAACUACGUG